GCCGGAUUUGAACCGAGGUUUUCCUGACUCCAGGUCCAGCCAGCGCCUUCAUUUUUAUGAGGAAGCUGACGCCCACAGAGAGUAAUAGAGGGGCAGAGGGCAGAUGUGGACUCUGACCAGCAGGGCACAUUCCUCGAUGGCCCCCAGGGCCCUCGGUAAGCCCAUGUGCUGGGCUCAUGGCACCUUGCAGAUGGGAACAUCGGAGCCGGAAAAGAGAUGAAGUGCCUUAUCUAAGACCACACCUGGUUCUUUUGAAUCCAAAUCCAGUGCUUUUUCUGAUAAUCCAGGCAUUUGGCAGCCUAUAGCACCCAGGAGAAAAUACAAAAUGCUUUGUUUGGCAUUCAAAGACCUCCAUAACCUAGCUCCCCUGCUCCCCUAGCUCCCUUUUCAGUCGUCUUAUAUAUACCUUUUCCCAGACUUCUACUCUUCAAUCCAGUGACACUGGCCGCUUUAAAUGUUUCAUUAAUAAAACACUCUCUCUCUCACCUCCAGGCACUUUCUCUGGCUGUCCCCCAUAGCUGGAAUGCUCUCCCUCCUUAUCUCUGCCUACUUCUGACCUACCUCAUUGUUAAGUCCCAACUAAAAUUCCUUCCUUUACUGGAAGCCUUCCCCAACCCUCCUUAAUUCUAGUGCUAUCUCUGUUAGUUACUUCAUAUUCAUCCUGUAAAUAAGUUUCUUUGAAUAUAUUUGUUUUCAUGCUCUCUCCCACUUUAGAAUGUAAGUUCCUCAAGUAUCCCCAGUG